AAUGUCAGGGCCAGAAGCUGUGGCGUUGGUGCGGGUGCCACCUCCUUCACUCUGAGCAUGUGGCCCCACAGGUACAUCACUCAGGAAGGCCACAAGCUGGAAACAGGGGCCCCGCGGCCCCCAGCCACCGUCACCAACGCAGUGUCCUGGCGGUCCGAAGGCAUCAAGUAUCGGAAGAAUGAGGUGUUCUUGGACGUCAUUGAGUCUGUCAACCUCUUGGUCAGCGCCAAUGGCAACGUCCUACGCAGCGAGAUCGUGGGCUCCAUCAAGAUGCGAGUCUUCCUCUCGGGCAUGCCCGAGCUGCGCCUGGGCCUCAAUGACAAGGUCCUCUUUGACAACACGGGCCGUGAGUACCCUUGCCAAGGGCCCUGCCCGUGAGGAUGGCUUCACCAGGCACACACAUUACAGCCCAGGGCAGGGUUGGGCCAGGCGGAGGAACGAGCUGGUUUCAAGCACUUGGUUUAGCAGCACUUCACACUGCUUGAGACAGCUGUGUAGAGUAUUCAUCCAUCCCUGGACAUAGAAGGCGCAGGGGAGUGAAAAUC
rnacentral:sRNA from 1 species